GACGAACUGUCCUAACGUUGUUCGGAAUCACUGGGCUUAAAGGGCGCGUAGGCGGUCGAUCAAGUCAGGGGUGAAAUCCUGCAGCUUAACUGUAGAAGUGCCUUUGAUACUGGUCGUCUCGAGGGAGGUAGGGGUGUGUGGAACUUCCAGUGGAGCGGUGAAAUUCGUAGAUAUUCGGAAGAACACCAGUGGCGAAGGCGACACACUGGCCCGUUACUGACGCUGAGGCGCGAAAGCGUGGGGAGCAAACAGG
rnacentral:rRNA from 1 species